UCCCCGUUACCGGGGCAGUCUGAAUAGAAAAAUUCAACUAUUCAUAAGGGUUGCGCUCGUUAAUGGACUUAACCAAACAUCUCACGACACGAGCUGACGACGGCCAUGCAGCACCUGUCACUUGGCUCAAUAAAGCACUCUCGCCUCUCGGCAAAAUUCCAAGGAUGUCAAGUGUUGGUAAGGUUCUUCGCUUAUCGUCGAAUUAAAGAACAUGCUCCACCGCUUGUGCGGCUCCCCGUCAAUUCCUUUAUGUUUUAGUCUUGCGACCGUACUCCACAGGCGGGAUACUUAACGCGUUAGCUUCGCUACUGAAGGGGUCGAUACCUCCAACAGCUAGUAUCCAUCGUUUACGGCGUGGACUAC
rnacentral:misc_RNA from 1 species